UACGUAGGCAGCAAGCGUUGUUCGGAAUUACUGGGCGUAAAGAGUGUGUAGGUGGUGUCGUAAGUUUGGUGUGAAAUCUCCCGGCUUAACUGGGAGGGUGCGCCGAAGACUGCGAUGCUGGAGUAUGGGAGAGGAAAGCGGAAUUCCUGGUGUAGCGGUGAAAUGCGUAGAUAUCUGCAGGAACACCCGUGGCGAAAGCGGCGAGCUGGAUCACUACUGACGCUGAAGAACGAAAGCUAGGGGAGCAAACAGG
rnacentral:rRNA from 1 species